UUAUGAUGAUGAUGAUGAUGAUGAUGAUGAUGAUGAUGAUCAUCAUCAUCAUCAUUAUUUGGU
rnacentral:pre_miRNA from 1 species